GGUUGUUGUGUUUAUUUUGAUAGUGAAAAAAAGUAAAAAAAAACUUCCAAGCUGCCUAUUUUUUGUUCCCGUUUCAUCACCGUCGGACAAAAACCAGCCAAAAGUUAUUUAAACAUUGUUUGAUUGCCGUUCCCGUAGUGUCGGACAAUGCCAACUAGAAUAAACCAUCCGUCAGAAGAUUCUCCACUGACCAUGAAGGUGCUAUGAACGAAAUUGCUGUCGUGUACGUGAUCGUAGGUGGAGAUUGUUUUAGUUAAUGUGGUUUUCCGGUCUAUUAGAUAACCUGUCCUCCAGCAGUCGUCAGGAUCCUCAGGAACCGAUUCUGAUGGAUGAAACAGAAACCGAAGUCAAAGACGAGGAGUAAAAGGCCAUCCGUGUGCAGUGAAAGUGGAGGAGUAAAGGGCCAAAGUCGCCGGAUGUCGUUUCAUUCGCGACAAACAAGUUCCGAUGUUAGUUCGAACGAAAGCAACGACGACAAUAAGGAGGGGAAGGGUUUCGAUUGCAAGCGAAGGGGACACAAACGAGGAGGAAAGAAAAGACGAAAGUCGAGCCCUAUCUCCGGCCAAUCGUUUAAGCCUAUCCGGAAUUGCCCCGCCAGAUCUCAACGAAGAUGACGAUGAGCAUGAUGAUGAUGAAAAUGUGGUUCUGGUAGGUCAUUGUUUCAAAGAGAGGACGAUACUUUGAAGGAUCCAGAGAGGCACGAUGUCAUUUAGGCCAUUUAAGAAGAACGACAUAAUAAAUGGACAGGAUCUACGAAUCAAGUUAGUGCAUAAACAGUGUUUCAGA